AGAUUCUGCACGACCUGCUCAACCCUUUUUUUUAAGAAUAGCAGCCUUGGCUCCAGGUAUUACGAGUGCAAGCUGACCUUGCUGAGGUCUGUGAAAAAAGACACUACACUGAAUUUCCUUUGUACAUAUUGGAAAUUCCACACCGUCCCCAUUCUGGAAAGAAAGAAUAUUUACUGUGAGCUGAGCAAGAAGACCCGUAAAAUUACCAGGCUGGGGCCCUACACCCUGGACAAGAAGAGCCUUUACAUCAAUGGUUACAAUGAUCGAAUAGCCCUCUCCUCCACCACAGGCUAUGAGUAUUCUUAUCCUGGGGGCAAACAGAGAACACCACUUGUCCGUCCCAACCCUGUUCUCAUAGCAUCCUGGGAAAGAGAGGAUGGACCACGGAUGUAAAAGAGAGAGGAAGGCACCACGUCGCCCUCAUUCUCGUAAUUCAGUCUCCACCAGUUGACUCAGUGGCCAAGCCAAAUGGAGUGCAUUUUCCCUGUCUCUUACAGUCCAUACCCCUCCUUGUCACAUGGACAAUUGGUCCACAGUUUUCAUUCAUGAUAUUUCCCUUCAGGUUCAAUAUUCAGAACCAGCACUCCAGCUCCAUCCACAGGCCUUUGAAGGAGGGAAAAGCAACCGGAGUUAUUAUUGCUUGUGCUCAUCGGAUAGAUCCUGCCAGCCCUGACCUAGAU